UUUUGCUUAUUUUAUACUUAUGAUUAUAUUUUUACUUUCAUGCUUUUAGUUUUUCAUUUUUUUAAGUAAAUAAUGCUUGAAGUGACAUGAAAUUCACUCAGUCGGGUCCAACUCUUUGUGAUCCCAUGUACUAUACAGUCCAUGGAACUCUCCAGGCCAGAAUACUGGAGUGGGUAGCCUUUCCCUUCUUCAGGAGAUCUUCCCAACCCAAGGAUCGAACCCAGGUCUCACGCAUUGCAGGUGGAUUCUUUACCGGCUGAGCUGCAAGGGAAGCCCAGGCCAAGUAAAUAUUCCUGUCACUGAAUAAAAAUAAGAUGCUGUAGUAUACUGGAACAAAAGCAAACAAAAAGCAGAAACAAAGUCAUGUUCAACUCUUUGACCCCAUGGAGUAUAGCCCACCAGGCUCCUCUGUCCAUGGACUUUUCCAGAAUGGUUAUUUUGUGUGCUGCUGCUGCUGCUGCUAAGUUACUUCAGUUGUGUCCAACUCUGUGUGACCCCACAGACGGCAGCCCACCAGGCUCCCCUUUCCCUGGGAUUCUCCAGGCGAGAACACUGGAGUGGGUUGCCAUUUCCUUCUCCAGUGCAUGAAAGUGAAAAGUGAAAGUGAAGUUGCUCAGACAUGUCUGACUCUUAGUGACCCCACGGACUGCAGCCUACCAGGCUCCUCCAUCCAUGGGAUUUUCCAGGCAAGAGUGCUGGAGUGGGGUGCCAUUGCCUUCUCCCAUUUUGUGUACAAGACCAUAU
ensembl:lncRNA